ensembl:snoRNA SNORD72 small nucleolar RNA, C/D box 72
UGCUCACCCAUGAUGGACCUAGAAAAAUGUCCGAACAGAUGAAUAAAAUGUGAAAUCAUUCUUGUCUCUGAGGUGAGCU